CAACUGUGUGAAUUAAUGUGAACUGCGUACUGCUUUGAACAUCGACAUCUUGAACGCAUAUUGCGGCCGCGGGAUAUCCCGUGGCCACGUCUGGCCGAGGGUCGGCUUAUCAUUUAUCACGACGCUCAAAUAGUCGUGGCCUGGAAGAUGUGCCAGCUGGCGUGAUUUCCCCAUUUUCAUGGGGUGCUGUGCUAUGGCUCCUUCCUAAUGUGUCCGGUUACACCUGGUCUGGGAUUGGGUUCCAGAGUAGGGAUGUGGCGUUGGACGUUGCAUGAGUCGUGGCUCAAUGUCUUGAUCACGCUCAUGUUUGGUUCGCGUCAUGUUUCUCUUUGGGUAUCUAUMUUCUGGACUGUGGCAAUGUGACUGAUGCGGCGUGCCUUGGCAGCCAAUUCAUUUAUUUGACCCUGACCUCGGAUCAGACGAGAAUACCCGCUGAACUUAAGCAUAUCACUAAGCGGAGGAAAAGAAACUAACCAGGAUUCCCCUAGUAACUGCGAGUGAAGGGGGAUUAGCCCAGCACCGAAGCCUGCGGCCGUUUGGCUGCUAGGCAAUGUGGUGUUCAGGUUGUCUCUUGGCAUUACUGCUCCAUCCUAAGUCCAGUACUUAGUAUGGCAUCUGGAG
rnacentral:rRNA from 1 species